GUGUGAGUGUGCAUAUAUAUUAGCAAUUAUGGGCUCAGGUGCUAAUGUAAAAAUUCUGCUGAAUAAAUAUGAAAUAUGCCUCUAUCAGCAUCCAACUUGUGUCCCCUCAACACUAGUCAUUUGAGAUGAUAAUUGGGAUAGCAUGUUUGCCUUUUUCUGAUGAGACGAAAUAUUGUGAUAGCUCUCCUCAGCCUGGAUUUAAAUGUGUAUUGAUCAGUGUGAGGCACAGGAGCUCAAAUCAAACCAGCAGUACAUCCCCCGCACACUUGCAUUUACUUCUGCCUUUGUUUUUCUUGUAAUGUUUUAAAGAAAUCUUACAAUUCUCGGACGUAAAACAUCCAUUACUAUGUCACUUAACAUAAGAAGCUCGUUUGUAUUUGUUCUUGCCCUCUUUUUCCACUAGUAGUGUGCUAAUGUCAUGAUUUAAAUGAAGUAUUGAUCAGUUUAGGAGGGGAGAAUAGAGAGAGAGGGAGCGAUUGUGAGGGAAAGAAAGCAAGACCAGGGUUAUCGGUGUGGAUCGCACACAGAAAGCAAGUGCUAACGGAUGAGACACGUUUUAAGCGAUUCCGUGAAAUGGAUUUUUGCAUAAUCUGUAUUUUUAAUUCAGGAAUAACCGCCAGCCUCUUUUGUUUGACUUAUUCCAAGAAGCAGAAGUGGACAUGGAGAUGACAACAGUGCAGGAAUGGAAAGAAUUUUCUUUUUUAUUCUUGGUUUUUGUUAAUGUCAUGGAGUGUUUGCCAGCCCGUUUCCAGAUGGUUAAAUCAUGGUUUGUCCUGGUACCUGUGUGGGUCUCCAUCUUGUCUGGUUAUUAUUCCCUCUGCAUCGACGACACUGCAGCAUCAGACGCACUGGACUAAAGCCUCUGUCCAAGUGAACCAGGAGCUAGGUCUGUUGUCUUCCUCCCUUACUUUCUCCCAAGCUCCCUCCUCUUCCUCUCUCUCUCUCACCGUCUUAGGCUCUCUCUCUCUCCCCCUCCAUCCCUUCCCCUUUGUGAUUUAGCACAGCAAGGUUGUAUUAAUUAGUAGCCUGUUUAUUAUUGUUGGCAUGCUUACUGGCCAGUUUUGUAAGAACGGUUUAUCUCACAGCUACAUAUGGCUGUGUAUUCUAUGGCUGCACUACCUCGGGAUUACCUGCACUUUUUUGUUAAAAUCUAAUAUUUGACUUUCAUAAUUUUGUUUAUUAUAUAAUGUAACACUCUUGUGUUUUCUUUGACUAGUAAACUUGUUGAGACUUUGUGUUUGUCAUUUUUAGUUUUUCAUUUUUAUCCAUAACCUGUUCUAUUGGCUAAAGUUAAGAUAUUGAAUAGAUUUUAAAGUGAUUUAUUUGCAGUUCUUUAUAUUAACAUGAACUGUGAAAUUCUACCUGAAACUAAAAGUCUUGGUGAUUUUUGAGAAAUAUACAGUAUAUAAUAUAUUUGAACUUUUUCCCACUUUAAUGUUCUAGUCUGCACAGAAUUUCACCUGGUACUUUUUAGAAUAAAGACUGCAUCUUAGCCAUCAAUAAGUGUAUUGUUUGUUAUUUCACUGUGCAAAUGUGAAACAUUUGUUUUGAAUAAUAUUCAGUUUAGUUUCAGGAGAAUUGAGAUUUAUGUCCUGCAAUCCUCCUAGCACCAGAAUUAGCCGAUGAAGGCAGAUAUUAUGCCUGCCCUUGACUGGACAGGACUAUGGCUGGCUUUAUCUCUGAGUAUCGGCUUAGGAGGAUGGGGAACCAUGGUGCAUCUUAGCUUCAGCAACAGAGUGAGCAGGUUGGCUGCGCAGAGAGGAUAGGCUCUAUCUACUAGUUUGAUUUUUCACCUCCUCUCGCCGGCCUGCCUUCUUUUGCGGUUCAAUAGCUGGAUAUCCUGGAGCAAGGAUCUCUCAGUCGCUGCCUGAACUGCAGCUGAGCCGACUGGAUAUCCGGAGAAACAGUUGCAUGCAGCAAUACCGAACACAGCUUCAGAGCCAGACCAGCAGGCCCAGGAGCUCCAGAGUCAGCUGCAGUUAAUGGGCAUCUGGUGCAGAUGGAGGCAGAGAAUGGAGCACUAAUGGAAUGUAAGCAGGAGUGGAGAGCUCAGACUGAAGAGAAAUCCUGCCACCACAUGCAGAGUUGUCUAACAUGGCUGCCUCAAUCAGCAGGAGGAGGCAAAGUGGCAGAAUGAAGAACAGAUUUCUGAGCUACAGGUGGAGAUAGACAGGCCAAAGACGCUGCUGGAGGAUGACAGGCAAGAGACUCACCAGAGGAUGUCAUUUUCAUCCAAGCAGACGGGUCAGCAGACAGAAGAAGACAGACAGAAAGAGAGACAAAUAGAAAAGUCAUAUGCAGGCUCUGGAGGCAGACAGGGGACCCAGAGAUUAAACAGUGACCACUCUGCCUCCAAGCACCAGGCUUGCCUCACUAAGAUGGCCCAGCAGGACCACACUCACAGUCUCUACAGAAGGACAUGAAUGAUCCCAGGUCACAGGGGGGCCAAGAGCAGCGGCCAUUGCGGGCAGUCUAGGAGGAGUGUGUCAUUUUCAUAAAGGCAGUGAUAGUAUCUCUCAGGGACAGCCAUAACUUUAAGUACAAGGUGGUUUUGUUCUCGCUCAGACGGAUCUCAUGUCAACAACAUGCUCUCCACUGUCAACUAGUCAGUCCCGGAACGAACAUGAAUCCACCUGCAGGAGCGUGUGGAAGCUCGGCAAAUUGAGGUCAGGAGACUUAAAGCUGAGCUUGACGAGAGGGGGAUUGAAUAGGAGAAGAUCCAGCUACUGUAUAUCGACCAGGCCCCAGUGACACAGCAGCUGCUGGAGACCUGCUCAGUGCAUCUGAUAGGUCAAUUCAAACUGAGAUCUGUGAUAGUGACAAGCACAAAAAGGUGUGAUUGGCAGAGUGCUUUGACUACGAGUGGAGCUUUGAUUAUUCAAGCAGAGAGCCUACAGAAGUACCUCUCGCAACCCAUGUGUCUUCCCAGCAGCCAUGACUGUUGCAGAGUUGGGACAGUUUCUGCUGGCCGAGGGGAGAGGGACCUUGCCCAUGUGCAAGUACCUAAUCAGAGUUGGACAUCACUUUCCAAUUCCAUGGACAAUUAGCUGUUGAUGAUGAAGAUGUUUUUUUAUGUGUCAUUCAAGUGCUCAGAUUUAUUAUAUUUUGUCCCUUUUGAGUUUGCAGCCUCAUUUGAGAAUUGAACUUGUGUGUGUCUCUUUAGAUAGCCAGACAUGGCAUGGUUAUUAUACUUUGAGAAUGUAUGAAGAUAAGAACUGUGAACUAAUGGUAUUUAAAAAUGUUAGCUCUGGAUUAGACUUUAUCCUGUGGUGCAAUGAUCAUAUUUUUACUCUAUUUGUUGUUAUUUGUUAGAAUGUGCUCACAUUAAGUAUUAAUCUCAUUAGUUAUCAGUAUAUGUAAGCUGAAUACAUGAUGAGCUAAAAGGAAUAUUAAUGUAUUUUUUAUGAUUAGGUUUCUUUACAUUGAUUUCUGCAAAAGAAGAGUGCUUGAUGUGUUUUGAGUCACAUACAGUAACUAAUCCCAGAGCCAUAGACUCCACAAGCCAAUGUAGCCAAAAUCUUAAUGAAUAUGGGCAUGUAGACAAAAAAUUGCAGCCAAAUAAAAGAAUAAUAAAGGCAUCUAAAUCCUAACAAGCCUGCCUUUGUUCUUCCACUCCACCCACCACAAGUUGGCUGUGUGAAAGCAGGCAUUGUUGCAGCUUUGAGGGCAGCUCUGAGAGUUCCAUGCCCAUCGGCCUUCAAUCACAAGGGAUGUCUGAGUUUGACAGUAUAAAGUCUUUCUUCUAGAACAAAAUAAGACCCCUAAGCAAUAGUGGAUGAGCUGUUAGUAACCACACAGUCCACAGGGAGGUAGACCAAGCAUGGUAGUACAGUAUACACAAAGUGUUGGUUAGGGAUAAGACAAUGGACCAGUAAAAACAUUACUGGAUGCUGCAAUACCCUAACAUUUCUUACAUUUACUCACAGAAUUAAAUGAUAUCUGUUAUGUUGUGUACUAAAAUUCUGUUUUACCAAAUAAAGACCAAAAGCUAAGUUUACUUAAGUAUCAGUUAAGUUUGGGAAAAGUGAAAGGAAGGUUAUGAAAAAAUACUUAAAUUACUCAGUGAUACAAAAGAUACCCAAAGCAUUCUCUUUGACUUGCAGAAGUUGUUGUAUUGUAAAUUGUAUUGUAUUGACUCUCUCCUGCUCCCAUAGCAGGUGCAUACAUACAUACAUGUGGUUGUGCCCAUCUCUUGUUUCCUUUGACUUUGCAGAGGGCAUCAGUGAGUAUAGACUGUGAGCUCACAGCUUGUAGUAGGUAUGUUAUUCAUGCACUGGCAGCAUGUAAGGGUUAAUUCCAGCCUUACAGGAAAAGGACACCAUCGGUUUCUGCCUUGACCAAAUCAAUAGGCAACAUUCUUUCUAGCAUAGCAGUCAAUACACAACACUUAAGGUGUCUGAGGAAACUAAAGAACACCAAUAAUUGUUAUUAAUGCCUUAGAUAUCCUCAAGCAUUGCAUUUAGAAGCAGUAAAGGCCUCUUCUGCUCUAGUAAAGUGUAUUUCAAUACUCUGUACAGGAAUGUUAACACAAAAAAUAGUGACCAAUAUUAUAAUAUAAUCAAUUUCUUUUCAAAAUGCCUUACAUGACUGUUGUGUUGACAUUCAGAGGAAAUUUAAGCCGUGCUUAUGGUGGACUCUAUGGAUGGCGAUGUCGCUCAUGUUGGUCCAGUGUGAAAUUGUGUGGAUUAACCAUGACAUUUUGUACAGACAUUCGUGUUCCCCAGAGGAUGAAUCCUAAUGACUUUUGUGAUUCCCUUAUUGUCCUUCAGGGCCACCAUGAGUGACAUUUUUUGGCAAAUAAAAGUAUGUUAGCAUGUCAUUGUUGGCAUGUGAGCAUGCUGAUACUGUGCCAAAUUAUAGCCCACUAGCAUGGCUGUAGACUCUUGCUGAACACACACAGACAGAUGGGCUACUUUGGAGCAGGUUGCAUUGGUUGUUAUUUAUUAUUGGUAUUAAACUUUUAAGAGGUGGCAUAUGUCCUGGACAGAAGUAAUAUGAAAAAAUGCUUUUACCAUCCUAUAAACAUUAACGGUUCAGUUAACUGUUGAUUGGGAAAAAAAAGAAGAAAAUCUUUCAAACAAAAAAGACAUUUUCAGGAUUUACUUAAUGUAACCCAUGUAUUUAUGUAAUAGGAUUAUAUUUCAAAAUCCGUUUCUGUGCAGAAUUUAUUAUUUUCCUUUUAUGUAUUUCUUUUCUGUGUAUUUCUUUUAGGGAACUUUUAUUUUAUUUUUUAUUUUUUAUUAUAUUUUCGUUGUGUGACCCUUGACUAUUGGCCACGCCGCUCCUCAAUCGCAAUCAGGAUUUGCGGAGGAAAGUUAAGAUAAAAAAAUCCUGUAAGUAUUGUGUGAACACGUGGUAAAAGAGCUAAAAAAAAAAAAGAAUUUUACUUUGUGCUGGUCAAAAAUGUUGAUCCUUGUUGUUAUAGUGGUUGUUUAUCAUGAAUACCAAUACCUUCAUCCCACAAAUAGAUUAACAAGGGAACCUAAUUAUUACACUAUUAUGCACUUCAAACAAGACUCACACAGUUUAAAUUGUAAAAUUGUAAGAGAAAAUCAAAAGUUUUUACUAAAGGUUUUUAAUAAUAAUUAUGUACAUGUUGGGUUAAAAAAAUAUGCUUAAUGUUAUUAUCUGAAAGCCUGCUUUAUUCAAAAAUUGUACUUAAAUGAAGAUUGGUAUUUGUGUAGGUUACUGCAUGGGGAGCACGCAUCUAUUUUAUUCUGUUUCAAAGUGGAUUCAACCAACUCAUAUACAUUGUGUGAAAAAUUUGAUUCAUAAUGUAUCCACAUUUUUGAAAGAAGCAAUUCAGUGCAAAAAAUUGCACAAUUGUCAUCCAAAGUCUGGCAACCUUUCUUGCUUUCCUUGCUUUCCUUAAAGGAUAGUGAGAGCAGCAGAGGAGAUCUCCGGUGUCUCUCACUCCUCAGUGGCAAACAUCUACACAGACCAGUGUGUCAGGAAGGCCACAAAACUACUGUCUGACCCCUCCCACCACCUCUUUGCACUCUUGCAAUCCAGAAGAUGCCUCCAGAGGAUCCGUGCAAGAUCCAUAAGACUGUGGCAUAACCUUUUUCCACAAGCCAUCAGAACUACAAACUCCCUCAAAAUGCUGCCCCCCCCAUCACUGCCUCCAACACCAGAGGGUGACAUGUACAAAAAAUGCACCAGCACUUUAAGUGUCCGCUUGACUUGACUGUUUAUUAAGGAUACAUGUUUACAUCAGCACAUUUUUAUAUUUUAUCUUAAGCUUCUCCCGAAAAGUUUUUAAUACUGCUCUCUCUUCGUGAUCUUUUAUGUUUUUAUGUCACACGUAUAUUGUGUCUUGUGUGUAACGUGCCUUUUGUUGUUUUUAAAUGUGACCUGCACUGUGAUCUAUGGAGUAUAGUAUUUCACUUACAUAUAUGCUGAAAUUUUCAAAGUGACAAAUAAAUCUGAUUCUGAUUCUGA